rnacentral:rRNA from 1 species
GACGAACGCUGGCGGCGUGCUUAACACAUGCAAGUCGAACGGAAAGGCCCUGCUUUUGUGGGGUGCUCGAGUGGCGAACGGGUGAGUAACACGUGAGUAACCUGCCCUGGACUUUGGGAUAACUUCAGGAAACUGGGGCUAAUACCGGAUAGGAGCUCCUGCUGCAUGGUGGGGGUUGGAAAGUUUCGGCGGUUGGGGAUGGACUCGCGGCUUAUCAGCUUGUUGGUGGGGUAGUGGCUUACCAAGGCUUUGACGGGUAGCCGGCCUGAGAGGGUGACCGGCCACAUUGGGACUGAGAUACGGCCCAGACUCCUACGGGAGGCAGCAGUGGGGAAUAUUGCACAAUGGGCGGAAGCCUGAUGCAGAAACGCCGCGUGCGGGAUGACGGCCUUCGGGUUGUAAACCGCUUUCGCCUGUGACGAAGCGUGAGUGACGGUAAUGGGUAAAGAAGCACCGGCUAACUACGUG